CCGCCAAACCACCACCGACAAGCUUGAAGAAGCUGACCACCGCCUCUCAGAGAGCCACACUUCCCUUUCCCAGGGUCACCAGUCCCUCAAUUCCAAAAUUGACACUAUACACUCCUCUCUCACAGCCCAAAUCGAAUCCCUCUUCGAUCGCCUUGCCGCCAUUACCCUGCAACCUAACAACUCCCCUUCCCCAACCAAUCCCACACACAUACCUCUUUCCCCUGCCUCUCGCCAUCAUCACCUGAAGCUGGACGUCCCAUGCUUCGACGGCCAUGACCCACUGGGCUGGAUAUUCAAAAUAUCCCAGUUCUUCGAUUAC
rnacentral:misc_RNA from 1 species